UAGAUGCCUCAUGUUACGAAGUUUCCGUCAGUCACAUGUCCAAUGUCCUUGACCUCAAUUUCAUGGUUCAGUGACCACUUGAAAAAAAAGUUCAGAUUUUUUGUAAUGUUGAAUUCUCUCUUAUUAUAUAAGUAAUAGGAUAACUAUAUUUGAUAUGUGCGUACCUUGCAAGGUCCUCAUGUCUGUCAGACAGUUUUCACUUGACCUCGACCUCAUUUCAUGGAUCAGUGAACAAGGUUAAGUUUUGGUGGUCAAGUCCAAAUCUCAGAUACUAUAAGCAAUAGGGCUAGUAUAUUUGGUGUAUGGAAGGACUGUAAGGUGUACAUGUCCAACUGGCAGGUGUCAUCUGACCUUGACCUCAUUUUCAUGGUUCAGUGGUUAUAGUUAAAUUUUUGUGUUUUGAUCUGUUUUUUUCAUACUAUAUGCAAUAGGUCUACUAUAUUUGUUGUAUGGAAUGAUUGUAAGGUGUACAUGUCUAGCGGGCAGAUGUCAUGUGACCUUUACCUCAUUUUCAUGGUUCAGUGGUUAUAGUUAAAUUUUUGUGUUUUGGUCUGUUUUUUUCAUACUAUAUGCAAUAGGUCUACUAUAUUUGUUGUAUGGAAUGAUUGUAAGGUGUACAUGUCUAGCGGGCAGAUGUCAUGUGACCUUGACCUCAUUUUCAUGGUUCAGUGGUCAAAGUUAAGUUUUUGAGUUUUGGUCUUUUUAUCUAAUACUAUAUGCCAUGUAUGCCAUUGUUCAACUAUAUUUGGUGUAUGGAAAUAUUUUAUGAUCUUUAUGUCAGUAGCGCAGGUUUCUUUUGACCUGACCUCAUUUUCACGGUUCAUUGCACAGUGUUAAGUUUUUGUGUUUUGGUCUAUUUUUCUUAAAAUAUAAGUAAUAGGUCAACUUAUAUGUUGUAUAGAAGCAUUGUUAGCUGUACAUGUCUGCCUGGCAUGGUUCAUCUGACCUUGACCUCAUUUUCAUGGUUCAUUGGUCUUUGUUUAGUUAUCUUGGUUAAUGUUAAGUUUAUGUGACAGUUUUUAAUAAAGCUUUAUACUUAGGACUAUCAACAUAAUAUCAAUGAUUAGUAUAGAAGGCGAGACAUUUCAGCGUGUGCACUCUUGUUCUAU
rnacentral:lncRNA from 1 species